rnacentral:rRNA from 1 species
AUUGAACGCUGGCGGCAGGCCUAACACAUGCAAGUCGAACGAGUGGCGGACGGGCGAGUUAUUUCUGGGAAUUUGCUUGAUGGAGGGGGAUAACUACUGGAAACGGUAGCUAAUACCGCACACCAUCAGCUGUGCCCAGAUGGGAUUAGCUUGUUGGUGGGGUAACGGCUCACCAAGGCGACGAUCCCUAGCUGGUCUGAGAGGGUGCCCAGCCACACUGGAACUGAGACACGGUCCAGGCUCAUACGGGAGGCAGCAGUGGGGAAUAUUGCACAAUGGGCGCAAGCCUGAUGCAGCCAUGCCGCGUGUAUGAAGAAGGCCGUCGGGUUGUAAAGUACUUUCAGCGGGGAGGCGUUACCCGCAGAAGAAGCACCGGCUAACUCCGUGCCAGCAGCCGCGGUAAUUC